rnacentral:tRNA from 1 species
GGCGCAAUAGCUCAGUCGGUAGAGCAGUGGUCUCGUAAUCCGAUGACCCGGGUUCCAUAUUGCUCCG